CCAGGGGCUGGCCUCAGGUACAGGUUUUUGGCAGCACAUCAGUGUCUGGGUGUGAGCUUGCUCCAUGUUGUGGCAUCUGGGACAUCUCACAGAGGUCCUUGCACUUCUGCAGUUUCCACCACUCCAGACUGGGUACAGCUGUAUUUUGAAUUCUCCACUGGAAUUUUACCACUAUCUUGCUGCAUUGGCUUCAAACUGACAUUGGAGAAGGGUUGAUGAUGGUGAUGGGCCACCUUCAGACCUGCUGGUCAUUGCUUGGCACUUGGAAUGAUGAAGUUGGGAACCAUCUGGAUAAAAUCAGGAUGUGAAUUUGCCUGCAUAGAAGUAGCUGACAACAUUAGCUGACAACUGGAUUGCUGACAUCCAAAACUCAACCUGCUCAUUGGCUUCUGAGGGUGGAAAUGAUUCAAGUCAAACCACGACUGCAAAUGACACUGAAGUGUCCUGGAUUGCCAAGCAAGUUGUAUUCUAUUUGCUAUCUGUAUGGCAGCUGUCUUCUGUUCAGGGGGCAGUUUUCCUUAUCUCUUCCACACCCACUCCUCCCUCCAGGGAGACAUCUGCUGAUAACAGGCCAUUGAAUGUCACUGCAUGACUGAUAAGAACUACAGCAUCCCAUUGGGAGAUGUGAGCCCAGAGGGAGGAGCCAAGCAUUGCUACCCAGAUAUAAUCUGGAGAUUCUGGAACACUGGCAUGGCUUCUCCACUGGAUUUCCCAGAGGAACAGCUGCCUGUUCUCCAGAUUCCACAGGAUCUUCAGAGGAAGAAUACACCUUUCUACAGGAUCCCUGCUCCAACAGAACCACACCUGGCACUUCAGGAGGGCUGCAGCCACAAUUCCAAAUGGACUGCUGCCAACAUCCUGACCAUCAGGGUGUCAGGUUGAGUUCUGACUCUGUCAGUGUUGUUUGGUUUUACUGCAUUGUUAAUUUUAUCUUUUUACUUUCUUCCCUAGUAAAGAACUGUUAUUC